rnacentral:rRNA from 1 species
UUAACGGCGUGCAGUUACUUGACGUAGACCCGAAACCGGGCGACCUACCCAUGAGCAGGAUGAAGCGAAAGUAAGAUUUCGUGGAGGUCCGAACCCACGGGCGUUGAAAUGCUCGGGGAUGACUGGUGGGUAGCGGUGAAAUUCCAAUCGAGCCCGGAGAUAGCUGGUUCUCCCCGAAAUAGCUUUAGGGCUAGCCUCAAGGUGAGAGAUACGGAGGUAGAGCACUG